rnacentral:rRNA from 1 species
UCGGGAAUUUUGGGCAAUGGGCGAAAGCCUGACCCAGCAACGCCGCGUGAAGGAUGAAGUAUUUCGGUAUGUAAACUUCGUAAGAAUAGGAAGAAUAAAUGACGGUACUAUUUGUAAGGUCCGGCUAACUACGUGCCAGCAGCCGCGGUAAUACGUAGGGACCAAGCGUUGUUCGGAUUUACUGGGCGUAAAGGGCGCGUAGGCGGUGUGUCAAGUCAGUUGUGAAAUCUCCGAGCUUAACUCGGAACGGUCAACUGAUACUGUCACACUAGAGUACAGAAGGGGCAAUCGGAAUUCUUGGUGUAGCGGUGAAAUGCGUAGAUAUCAAGAGGAACACCUGAGGCGAAGGCGGGUUGCUGGGCUGAUACUGACGCUGAGGCGCGAAAGCUAGGGUAGCAAACGGGAUUAGAUACCCGGUAGUCCCUGAGCGGGCUGGCAAGGCGCAU